GGAUGCGAUCAUACCAGCACUAAAGCACCGGAUCCCAUCAGAACUCCGAAGUUAAGCGUGCUUGGGCGAGAGUAGUACUAGGGUGGGUGACCUCCUCGGAAGUCCUCGUGUUGCAUUCC
rnacentral:rRNA from 1 species